AUUUUUUCCGUGUUGAUGUAGUGUACUCAGGUGAAUAUGAUAUUAUCAUAUUCACCUGAGUACACUACAUCAACACAGAAAAAAUUCAUAUUACUA